UACGUAGGGCGCAAGCGUUGUCCGGAAUUAUUGGGCGUAAAGAGCUUGUAGGCGGUCUGUCGCGUCUGCUGUGAAAUUUCGGGGCUCAACCCCGAACUUGCAGUGGGUACGGGCAGACUAGAGUGUGGUAGGGGAGACUGGAAUUCCUGGUGUAGCGGUGAAAUGCGCAGAUAUCAGGAGGAACACCGAUGGCGAAGGCAGGUCUCUGGGCCACUACUGACGCUGAGAAGCGAAAGCAUGGGGAGCGAACAGG
rnacentral:rRNA from 1 species